GACGAACGCUGGCGGCGUGCUUAACACAUGCAAGUCGAACGGGCCUUGUCCCCUUUUUUUUGGGGGUGGGGUUAGUGGCGAACGGGUGAGUAACACGUGAGUAACCUGCCCCUCACUUCUGGAUAACCGCUUGAAAGGGUGGCUAAUACGGGGUGUUCUGGCCUGCUCGCAUGGGUGGGUUUGGAAAGAUUCGACCGGUUUUGGUUGUUUUGGUGGGGGAUGGGCUCGCGGCCUAUCAGCUUGUUGGUGGGGUGAUGGCCUGCCAAGGCUUUGACGGGUAGCCGGCCUGAGAGGGUGGGCGGUCACACUGGGACUGAGACACGGCCCAGACUCCUACGGGAGGCAGCAGUGGGGAAUAUUGCACAAUGGGCGCAAGCCUGAUGCAGCGACGCCGCGUGAGGGAUGGAGGCCUUCGGGUUGUGAACCUCUUUCGCCAGUGAAGAAGGGCCUGCUCUUUGUGGUGGGGUUGACGGUAGCUGGGUUAAUGAAGCGCCGGCUAACUACGUG
rnacentral:rRNA from 1 species